GGAGGCACACGUGGCCAUAGAGUGCCUCAAAGGGCUGAAAGCGUGAGCUCACCGUGCAGGAGGGGCGCUUCAGAAGGGCUUGCGGGCUGGAGGUUGGGGUUAGGCAGUAGUUAAUGUGUGAGCCGUGCUUUGGGUGCGUGGUGUUUGGCUGUGUGUGCAGGUAAAAAGCUGCCCUGAAAGCUGUGGGAUCGCUUGUGGUGCAGCUGAAGCAAAGGGAGGGAAAAUAGGACUUUGUAAGGUUGGCUUUUUGCUGGUCCCAAAGCAUUGCCCAACCUUGUGAGGGAAAGCAGCAGGAAAUGGAGACUGAGCAAACCUGAGUCUGAAAGAGGAGGAAUCUGAGGAUGGAUACGAGCCCAGCGCAUAACGGGUGUCACCCUGAGAUGUCUGUGAGUGGGGGAUGCACUUCCUUGAGGUGCUCAGAGGAAAGAUGCAUUCCUCAAACAUGAAGGUGCCUGGUUCUCCACAGCAAAGCUUAUAGUGGCAUCUACAGCAUGACAACAGAUCUGUCUGACCUGGCAACAGCGCCCAGCCCUGUCCCAGGGAGCUGCGCCACCGAGGAGCCUGGUGUCUGCCCCGGGGUCUCCUCUGGUGGCAGCAGGACGGCCAGGAGCUGCUGCCCACAUGGGAGGCCCUCUGUGGGCACAGCACUCGAGUUCCCAGGAAAAGGCAGUGUGGAGUUGUUUGUUUUUAAUGCCUGGAUACUCCUGGCCUUGCUCCUAUUUUAGAAUUUGAUUCUUUCCAGAGCGUGGAUUUAACCUGGCUGGUAAGUUCUUUGCUCUCCAGGAUGGCUCGUAUUGCUUCCUAAAAGUCUCUUUUAAAAUGUCAAUAGGCUGCAAGAAUCACUUUAUUACAGUGAGAUAAGAAGGCUGCAAAGAGACAGCAGUGUGCUCUUAGAAAUAAGCCGCUUCCCCUAUUAAGCGUCUGCCUAGGAAGCCUUUCCCAGCCCUCUGUGCCUUCCAGGAACUGCAGAGAACCUCGUGAGCUGCCCAGGCAAGGAGCACAGAGGAAGCAGCCAAUGAGCAGAGAACCCCUGGUUCAUUGCACGAGAGCUUCAGUGCCUUCCUGCCCUGUGAGAGCCUUCUGGAAGGAAGAGUGAGACACAGGAAGGCAGUAAUUAACACUGCCUUCGUUUCCUCUGUGAAGAUGUGGCUGGCAGCCUGCCUGCCUGCUUUUAGCUUUCCUGAGAAGCAAAUACGUAAAACCCAGCAACUAGAAUUAGCCCUUUAGAUCCCUGAGGGACACCAAGUUUUAAAAUACAGCAGCCGAAGUCCUGCCUUGUGCAGAGUUCAGAUUAUAGAAGGAGAGAACGUUCUUGAUUGUAGCACGGACGAUGCUCACACCACAAAGUAGCUGUCUACUUAUGCUUAUAGAUGGAUGAGCUCAGCCAGGGGCAGACUCGACGAGUUAAUGGCUCAGGAGAAUGGCAUGAGCUGAGCGUGCAGUAGUGUGGCUGUCUUUAUUCAUGAUUGCAGAGCGUAAAUAAUGUUUACAAGCGUAUUUGAAAGCAGAACAAAAAGGCUCUGGGUGAGAAGUGGUCGUUGCUUCAGCCGUGCCCACGUUCUUAACUUCGCCUGCGUGAUUUGAUGAGGUUUUCUCAGCUGUUCCCUUUAGAGGGCGAUCCUGCCACACACAUCUUCAGCGUGCGAACUUCUGGGAGCUGCAGUGCGAGGUGAAGCCGCCCGGAGGUCAGCGGAACAUGGUGGCUCUCCUGGAGCUCUGCAAAGCUACGGACAUGAAGGGAGCUGCAGUCUGGUCCGGGCAGUUCUGAUUGAAUGUGUUCUGCUUCCUCAGGCAGUUGCCAAGCUGCUCCCAGAGGUUGCGAGUACAACUCCAACAGCCCCCAAAUUCUUGGAGAGCUGCCCGCAAAAGACAGAGAUUCAUGUGCCUUUCUUCCCGAAUUAACCACCAGCGUGUGUGCCGCUGCUUUGCUGUUGACCCCAUGCCUUUGCUGUUGCAUAAAGGGUUCUCCUUGCCCAGAAGAUCCAGCUGCCAGCACACUUUAGGAGGCUCCAAAUUCAUUAUCGGUGCUCUAACGUCUCCCUCCAAGAGGCUGCAGUUUGGCACAGGCAGUGCCUUUGAUGUCUGGGCUUGGCCAGCACCUCGUGCUGUAGGAUCCCAAGUUCAUCGCUGGGGCAUUUCAGCUUGGGAUCAAUGCUGUGAGUGCUUUUCUUUCCCGGCCCUGAGGUUCGUGGUUGGUGAAACUCAGCAGGAGCUGGGGAGCUCAGUGGAGCGUUGUGCCUGCAUGGGAGUGGGGCAAGAAACAGGGGCAGGAUGUGGGGGCUUCCAAUUCCCAGCCCAUUGCCUCUCCUUCCUCUUCUACAUCAGUAAGCACUGCCAGCACCUGGUGCAUUAACACAGCAGAAACCCUAGAUAGUCUCUGAAUACACAGCUGGUAAAAUGACUCCAAUUCAGCUUCUCUCAGUUGAAGGGUGAGAGCUGCGUCCUGGCUGGGCUCCAAGCUGAGGGGGGCUUGGUGGGGAUCUGAAGCCCUGGGUACAGAGGGUUUGCUGGAGACCAGUGGCUGCUCUCCAGGUUCCAAGCCCUGGAGCAUCUGCCCCCAUGGGGAUCCUGGGGAAAGGGGCCAUUCUUCUUAAUGCGGGGUAGACCUUGGGUUGAGAAAAAGAGACUGUGUCCUUGGUGUGGGGACCUAUGAGAACAAGGUCCCCGGGGAGCAGCGAGGUCGAUGCUCCUCAACAACCUGAUGUCUCAGCUGGCCACCAGCCCCCUUCAGGGCUCAUUGCUGCCUGCUCUCACGUGCUCUGCUCCUGCCCAAUCCUGCUCGGACCCUGCAGGGUAUAUACCACCCCAGGGUGUCACUGCCCGUCAUUGGCUGGCAUACACAGCCUAUGUGGCUGUAGAAAUAGGCUGUGUUUGCUUCCUAAUAUCUGUGUUCCUGCUUCAACCGCUUGGUGUGGUGCUGAGCUGCAGCAAGAAGAUGCUGUUGCAGAGAGGCCCUGCUGCCCACUGGGGGGUUUUAGGAGCUGACUUUGCUGCUGUCACUCCUGUACCUACCUGCAGGUCCUGCAGUGAGGGUGCCCAUGGUGUUUCCUUGAGCUGCUGGUCUACCUGCUGUUGGUCCCCCCUCCCUAUGUUCCUCCUCCAGGCAGCUCAGCACCACCCCAGGCAGCACUGGGUGAGCUCCCCCAGGGGUCUCCUUUACUCUUGCCAACUUCAGCCAGCUCUGUGCAGAACCUCCAGCGAGAUAAAAGAGAGAAGCAGUGUGAAACCUUCCUCCUCCUCAGCAGAUGGUGUUUGCGGCAGUGGACGUUUCCUGUGCUGCUGUAACAGAACGGCCUGGUCUGGCCAAGAAGCGGAAGGGGAAGCUGCAGUCUGGUCUUGCUGAGGCUCCCUUACUCUGCAGACUUGACCUGAGAUCCUGGAUCACUUAUGAUCUCUUUUUUUCUCGAGUAUCGGAUGUUUCUUUCCCCUUUUUUUUUCUCCAUGUUCAACCCAGGUGCUGAAAAGCUGCCAUGCCUUGCUGCAGCCAGCAGCUUCAGUCACUGCAGCACUCACAGCAGCCUCCUGGGGCUCGGUGACCGCAGAUGUGCUGUGUGAUGCAAUGUGAACUUCACAUCACCUUCAGGAAAGACUGAAAUGCAUCUAAGCUGGAGCUCGCUCGGUGUCACUGAGCAGAGCAGCGCUACAUCUGUGCAGGCUGUGAACUUCCAGCCUGAAAAGCCUCACGGGUGGAGAAACUGCCCUGUUCUGCUUGGGUUUGUUUGAGCAGCUCUGGCUAAAACGGUACGCCAAGGAGGGGCAGCUGCACAUCCAUCAGGCUUAGUGCUGUCAGACCAGGCUGAGUUUGCUGAGCACUGCAGUGGGUGCUUUGGAGACAAGUCUCAAUCAGGGGAGCGAGGAAAUGCAUACGGCCUUGCUGCCUCCCUGGAGCCAGCACUGUGACUGCUCCCUGGAGAGCAGCUCCCUGACUGCAUCAGCUCCCUGAGCAGCUCUGCUCCUUCUCUUCCCAGCAGCCAGAAACUGCCUACAUCAGCUUUUACCUUCCACUGGAAACCAGCUGAGCCACAGCAAUGCGGAGCGACCCAUAGGCACUGCGUGCUGCUGCAAGCUCUGUCCCACACCCAGGUAAUUCUGGGGUAUGAACCUCUGUGGGAAGGGGCUGCGUUCCCCUGCCAGCUCUGCAAGGUCAGGCACAGCCCAUGCCACGCUCUGUGCACCCCUCCUCACCCCUCUGACUCCGGUAGCACCAGGCUGUGUCAACAGCCCUGCUGAGCCCUGCCAAACCUCAGAAGCCCUUUCACAGAGCGCCAUGUGUCAGCCCUCCGUGUUCCCUAUCAGCACCAUCUACCUGACUUCAUCCUGCCGCUCGCAGCAAGCCUGGGCAGGUAGCAGGACACAGGGCAGCUGGAGGUGGAUGCUGGGGGUUCAGCCAAAGUGCACUCCUUCAUGCAGCAUUCAACUAAGGAAGGGAUCUUUCUUUAGCUCCUCUUUUCCUCCGCCUUUCAAAGUGGUGCCGUAUGGAUGCUAUCAUGGAGUUCAUUAGUCCGCGUCGGAGCCCCCUCCCUGCAGGGGAUGGGUUUUGCUGCAGUCGAGAUCUGGUGGUUUUUCUCUUGGGAUUUCAAGAAGUUUCAUUCCACCCAUGAGAAGUGCCAGGCGUCGGGGGAAGAUUUGUUUCUUGGCAGCUGUUCCCGUUUUGCUCUAGAAAACAGAUGCUGUGCUAGGAAUGCACCGUGACUAAAAUUCCUCUGGGCUGCUCAGGUCAAAUAGCAGCAACGGGGGAAGCAGGGGAGCAGCACUGCUCAGCACAGUGGGGCUGAGCAUUUCUGGGGAGCGGGGGCUCAGUGUUGGCUCGCGCUUGGCUCUGCCUGUUCUAAGGAGCUGCAGAGCCUGGUGGUGUCAGCUCUUGGUUCUGUGACAGCAUCUGACCCCUGGGACACGGCGUACGCUGCUUCUGUUCCUUCUGCAGAGGGCUCGGGGAAGCUUUCGGGAUCAGGAGUUUAAACAAGGGGUGUGAUGGGUGGUGACAGUUUGAGAAAAACACAAACAGCAAAAGGUAUUGGUGCUGUCAAGGAACAUGACAGGCAAGUUCACAGCCCUCGCAGGCCUUUGGCUUCCUGUUUUCUCCUGCCAGGAAACAAUCCUACGUGGUGACAGCCUCAAGUGACCCUGCAGCAGGUGGGGGCAGAGCUGGGGAUGCUGAGAGCAUCAGCCCCACGGGGUGAGGUGUGCAGGCAGCCCUGCCCUCCCUGGAUGAAGGUGGUCAGCACGGUGUGGACGCUGCAGGCCCUCGAUGUGACUGCAGAAUGGGUCACCCCAUCACAACACACCUCUCCUUGUUCCCAAGCUAAAAGAAGGGGCUGUGCGAUAGAAAACCUGCAGCUGGUCUCUCUAUUCUCCCACUAGCAUUAACUGACAGCGCAGUGACUUCCUUGAUGCUUGGCAAUUUUUUUCCAUGCACGCAUCCAGCUAAUCAAUUAAGUUUCUCAGCAGCUUCCUCCAGCAUUCAGGUUUGGAGGGUGGAAGGAAUUUGUUAUUCUAGGCACUGUAGGAGAGGCAUGAACUGUACUAAAAGCAAAUUGGUUGCGCUUUCCAAGCGCUGAUGCUUCUCACUUGGAGCUCAGGGGUCUGGUCCUGCUCCCACCACCUUGGCUGGAGCCGGGGAUGGCGAUGGGGAUGCUCUGUCUAUCUCAGCACUGGGGACACUCUGGGUUUCAGAAGCUACACAACCCUCCUGGUCCAUGGCAUUCAACCCCAUCCAAGAAGCUGGGGAGGUUGGUUUGUCCUUUAACUCAGCCUUCUGCUAAAUAAAUAUGC